CUCACUUUGGCUGAGGAUGUGACUCAAGAGGGUGCCCAGCAGCAUUUCAGCUUGCAGCCAUAUGCAAAGGAACCAGAACACUGCUUUGGCAGAGGCACUGAGGACUGCAGUUUGAAGAGGCAGAUAGGCAACAUCUGUAGGCAUCAAGCAGCGGGUUAACCAUGUGGGAGAUGGGGGAAGCACAAAGUCUUAAUCACCCUUGUUUCAUUCCAGGCCAGACACCCCAUCAAGAGUUGAGAUAAAUGGCCCAGCGACAGGAAUUGUUUAAGUACGCGAAUGAAUGAGCAAUCAUCCAUGAGCAAAGCUGACGACUUAGCAUCUGGAUGCUGCUAUUUCAUGAAGACCACGCUACAUCCUCUGCAGUUCUUAACUGCUUUGCACCUUUUGUUGCAGACCGAUGGUCCUCUACCUUGAAGUCUUAUUGAAAAAAAAAAAAAAAAUAAGAGCAAACAUUUGCUUCGAGGUUGUGCAAACGCCUGUCCCUGUCUAUCUCCUUGAAUCUGUUGAUGCUGUCCCAACAGAGGAUGAUGAAAGGUCAUCAGCAGAAAAUCUAUUUUUUUAAUUUGGCCUUGGUCUGUGGAAGGAAAAUAAUAUUGCAACAUGGCUUACAUAAGAAUACAGGCCCAGGCAAAUUCAUUCAUGCGAUGAAAUCAUACAGCCUUCAAAUACUGCUGGCUCUCCAUGUUGGAAUAGAAUAAGGUGGAAAGAAUAUGUUGCCGAAGAGUACUAAUAACCAUCUGUACACAGAAUAGGUGAGGCCUACAGUCAACGGCAGGUCAUAAUUGCACAAAGUUGGGAAAAUUUUUCUCUAACAGCUUGCUCACUCAUCUUUACCCCAAAAAUGAGACAGAGGGGAGUCUCCAGCUUUCUCUCCCCCCAGGAUUUCUCACAGUAUCUGGGAUUGAAACCCCCCUUUUAUCCCUAUCCUUCAACUGUAUUGUUUCUCCUCGUUUCCUCACUGGCUGAAGUACUGAGGUUACAGACUUCCUGGUCCACCCAAUACACGUUCCCCCUUGUAUGUCAUCCCCUUUUGUAUCAUGUAUCAUGUGUGUAAUUAACUCCAACUUCAUGCAGCUCAGGGAGGAGAAGUUAAUUAUGCUACUAAAUCUGCUCAGCAUGUCCAAAGUUUGUAAGUUCAGUUGUUGACAGACCUUCAUAACUAAAAUCUUGUUUGGUAAGAAUGUACAGACACCAACAGGAGAGGAAUCUGCAAGCCUCUGCACAAGUUUGUGAGCAAGGGCAUCUUGUUUGCAAACCUCUGGGUAAAUAACAUUGUUAGCAAGGACAUCUUGUUUGUAAGCCUCUUUUGUUUCGUGUGAAGAGCAAAUGCAAGAUAUAAGGGAGCUAAUACUUUGGUUAUUGUAAAACCAUGUGCUUUAUAAGCACCAGUACCUAAUUAUGACCUUAAUUAUUAUAGUUCUGUGAAUUGUUAAAUAAAUGCUUUCUAAAUCACUAUGCAAAACUAUUGCAGCU